UUGUAUUAGUUUUGUAAAGGUACUACUAUAUGUAGUUUAAAAGGGAAGUUCGGUGAGAAUCCGACGCUGUCCCCGCAACUGUAAAGCUGACGAAGGUUCGAUGUCCACUGUGUGAAUACAUGGGAAGGGAACCAGAGAAUGAAGCAAAGCCAGGAGACCUGCCUUAUAAAACCGAUCCAU
rnacentral:ncRNA from 2 species